rnacentral:lncRNA from 1 species
UCCCCCAAUAUACGUCCGAAUCAAUGAAAGAACCCAUGUGUGGUUGUAGAUGAAUCUAGUAAUGGUCUGGGCAAUCUCCACUACCUGCUGCACCCUGUGAAUCUUUCUGAUAUCCAUCAAUAUAAGAUCAAUGCAAUGUGCAGCACAUGGGGUCCAGUAUAUCUGCGGUCGCUGCUCCAUCAGCAACUCUCCGACAGCCUUAUAUUGUGGUCCGUUAUCUGUGAUGACCUGCACGAUAUGCUGCUCACCCACUG